rnacentral:lncRNA from 1 species
AAGAGGAGGCCAGCUGAGCCUCAUCUGAAGAGAGACCUGACCUGUGAAACAGAUUGACCUGAUAUACACUGCUCUGACCAUCCUCAAAAACUACAUCAUGCCUUAUCUUUUGUCCUGAGCCAAAACAAACUAUCCAACAGAUAUUCCUCCUAACAUAGAUUCAGCAGGCUAGGCCACAAGAAGAACCUCCUAGUUGAGUGUGAUUCUCAGGUAAUUGCACUCUGCGAUAGAUUGACUUCGACAUAACGCUUUUCCUGACCAUUCUCAAGAUCUACCUCCUAGUAAAAGGUUCUCAAUCUCUCUUAGUGACAGGCCCAUAAAACCACCUAACAAAUCUGAAUUUUUCUUCUGUCCAGAACUGGAAUCUACCACGAGAAGAGCCUUUGCCUCUUACGAGCAACCAAAAUGUGAGAACUGAAUAAAGCACCCGGCACUGUGACAUGCUCAAGAAAUGUUUGCCGUGAUGUCUGGACCUAUUGGCUUAGCGGAACUCUCAAGUUCCCGAACAUGCCUAAGCUGAAAGCUUCUCUAACCACUGGAUUUUGAAGAUCGGCAGCGCCAGGACUGUAGCACUUGUAAUCAACUCUAUCAUAGCAGUUCGUUCAUAUUCUACUAAAAACAGUUGAUUUUCAGCUGUUCGACAUCCUUAUAGCAAAGCUGUCAGUCAACACCUUUUCCUGAAGGGAAUACGCAUACACUUGGUGGCACCUCACUUUGUCCCCACACACUAGUCAUCCAUCUAAAGACACUAGCAGGGAGUUACCAAGUUCUGCUCAUGAACAUGGUGGCCCAGAUGCUGCUGGAGUUAUCCGCAGAAAUGGCAAGGAUCACAACAAAAUAUCCAAUUUUGGCCCAGCAGAGAGGAAACUUUUACCAACUGAUGGCCGCCCGAUGACCUGAAUGGAAAGAAUUGGUGGCCCCGGGAGAGCACACAAUUGAGAGAAGUGAUCACAUCACCAGAUGUGACGUCACAGUUUGGCACCAGCUGCCAACCUGGGCACAGAGAAUGCACAGUCCACUCAAGUCUGAGCUUCCUCUAUGGAUUCCCCUGGGGUUCAGUACAGAGCACUGUACAGUGGUGUAACCUCUAUACUGGACUGAUGGAAAAACCAAGUUUGCUUAUAUGGUAUAUUACAUUGACUGGGUUUUGUAUGUUGGACUAUUUCUGCAUCUCUGGGAUUAAUUCUACUUGGUGGAUGAUCUUUUUGAUAUGUUCUUAGAUUCUGUAUGAAACAUGAUAGAAUAUUUGAGAAGCAGUAAUAACUUCACUGAAGAAAUAAGAAGUACAGAUUCCUUAGCACUCCCAAACAUCCUGGCAUUAACUUCAGUGGCUCUGAUGGGACCUCACCCCGCCCCAUGCACUGCUGGAUUUUCCUCAACUUGGUUGACAGUUGACAGAACCCAGAGGUUGAAUUGUGAAGCAAAUUUUCUACUUAAGACACAUCUUUUUGUGACUAUGUUUCCAAUCAAUCAGAUUGGGCAUUUUGGGUUGUCUUGACUUCAUCUGUUAUUUUAAACUUAAUACAUUGUCAGUGUUGGGAUUAACUUUUGUUCACUAAAAAUGUUUAACUGCAUAUUCUACCUACUUAGC